GACGAACGCUGGCGGCGCGCUUAAAACAUGCAAGUCGAACGGAGUGAUUCAGACAGAAGUUUUCGGACGGAAGACUGAAUGACUUAGUGGCGGACGGGUGAGUAACACGUGAGGAACCUGCCUUUCAGAGGGGGAUAACGUUUGGAAACGAACGCUAAUACCGCAUGACAUAUUCUUCAGGCAUCUGAGGGAUAUCAAAGGAGAAAUCCGCUGAGAGAUGGCCUCGCGUCUGAUUAGGUAGUUGGUGAGGUAACGGCCCACCAAGUCGACGAUCAGUAGCCGGUCUGAGAGGAUGAACGGCCACAUUGGGACUGAGAUACGGCCCAG
rnacentral:rRNA from 1 species